GCCUAUGACAGACAAGGCAAGCUCUACUCUCAGAAGCAAAAAUUAUAUAUCUAGGAGUCAGAGUCUUUAUAGUAUGAAUCAAGAAGAAUGGACUUCUGCUUCUUAUCUACCUAAUGCCACAGGGUGAAUUUUGCUUUUUGACUAUGGCUUUUGGAUUUCCAAGAACAGAGAGUUGAAGCUUGUAUCUACACAAGGCUACUAAAGCACUCUAUUUGUCAGAUGUUUCAAAGAUAAUGAUGACAGCAAUGCAUUUUCUACAUUCAUAUCCUCAAUCAUAUGUUUUUGAAUGCUUACUGGAAAACCGGUUUAAAAGAAAGGUGACUAGUUAUUGGUCUUGCUCUGACAGCCGUGGAAACCAUUUGCUGAUGAAAGCACAAGCAACAACAACAAAAAAGAUGAAUAAACUGGAUUUCAACAAAAACACAUUUGUGCUUCAGAGAACAUAAUCAAGAAAGUGAAAAGGCAACCCACCAAUGGGAGAACACAGUUUCAAAACAUAUAUCUAAUAAAAUAUUUGAGUCCAGAUUAUCUA
rnacentral:lncRNA from 10 species